UACGUAGGGGGCGAGCGUUGUCCGGAAUCAUUGGGCGUAAAGAGCGUGUAGGCGGCUUGGCAAGUCUGACGUGAAAGCCCGCGGCUCAACCGCGGAUUGUCGUUGGAAACUGCCUCGCUAGAGUCCGGAAGAGGAGAGCGGAAUUCCUGGUGUAGCGGUGGAAUGCGCAGAUAUCAGGAAGAACACCCGUGGCGAAGGCGGCUCUCUGGGACGGUACUGACGCUGAGACGCGA
rnacentral:rRNA from 1 species